AACGAACGCUGGCGGCAGGCUUAACACAUGCAAGUCGAGCGAGACCUUCGGGUCUAGCGGCGGACGGGUGAGUAACGCGUGGGAACGUGCCCUUCUCUACGGAAUAGCCCCGGGAAACUGGGAGUAAUACCGUAUACGCCCUUUGGGGGAAAGAUUUAUCGGAGAAGGAUCGGCCCGCGUUGGAGUAGGUAGUUGGUGGGGUAAUGGCCCACCAAGCCGACGAUCCAUAGCUGGUUUGAGAGGAUGAUCAGCCACACUGGGACUGAGACACGGCCCAGACUCCUACGGGAGGCAGCAGUGGGGAAUCUUAGACAAUGGGGGCAACCCUGAUCUAGCCAUGCCGCGUGAGUGAUGAAGGCCUUAGGGUUGUAAAGCUCUUUCAGCUGGGAAGAUAAUGACGGUACCAGCAGAAGAAGCCCCGGCUAACUCCGUG
rnacentral:rRNA from 1 species